AUUGGUGAUGUUGUUGAGACUGAUAUCAUGCAUGACAUUCUUCCAUAUUACUCUUAUGUUGUCUUGAUGGUGAGCUGAGUGAUUGAGAGACUCCGAGGUCUUUGCCGGAGAUUGAGAAUGAUUGAGAGACUCCGAGGUCUUCGCCGGAGAUUGAGAGUGAUUGAGAUACUCUGAGGUCUUUUCCAGAGAUUGAGAGUAAUUGAUAGCCUCCGAGGUUUCUACCGGAGAGCACGAGUGGUACAUGGACUUCGCGGGUCCCCCAUGGGUCAUGACUAUGAGGCAUUGCCAUAGCAUGUGUGUACGAGAAUGGAGCGUGAGAGCACGACAUUGCAUUGCAUAGCACUCCAUUUGAAUUGCUAUUCAUGUCAUUGCAUGGCACAUUCUCUGAUUGAUUCUUGAUUUGUGAAUUAUUGAGUUGUUGUUUGUAAGUAUUUAUUUUAGAGGCUUGAUGGACUCGAGGUUUGGAGAUUUUCCCCUAGGCUUAUAACCUGAGAUAUUGAAAUCCCUUGUGACUAUCGUUACUGCAAGACUUCCAUAUGUGCUAGAGUUGUGACUGUGUUUGAUUACUUAUCUGCUUACUUGUUAGUUGCUUCUUGUUUAUAUGCGUGAACUAACCAUUGUCGGCCUAUGAUACCUACGAGCCUUGUGUUGUGCUCAUACUACUCUUGCUACACUCCUUGUGGAGUGUAGAGUUAUUUUCAGGUGAUGCUCGGAGUCUCACAACCUUUUCGAGGCAUUCGUCAAAGGUGUUUGGGUGAGCUAUUUGAGAUCUUGCAACCCAGAGUCUCUCCUUAGAUUUCUGUUGUUCUCUAUCCUUAAACAGAAGUCGUAUCCAGUUUGAGUCUGUUAUCUACUUCAAAUUGUAAACUUCUUAGAAGCUCUUGUACGAGUCUAGACCAGGUUUUGGGAAUUUCUUAUAAUAAAAGUAUUUCUUCCG